AUUGAACGCUGGCGGCAUGCCUUACACAUGCAAGUCGAACGGUAACGCGGGGCAACCUGGCGACGAGUGGCGAACGGGUGAGUAAUGUAUCGGAACGUACCCAGUUGUGGGGGAUAACUGCUCGAAAGAGCAGCUAAUACCGCAUACGACCUGAGGGUGAAAGCGGGGGAUCGCAAGACCUCGCGCAAUUGGAGCGGCCGAUAUCGGAUUAGGUAGUUGGUGGGGUAAAGGCUCACCAAGCCAACGAUCUGUAGCUGGUCUGAGAGGACGACCCGCCACACGGGGACUAAGACACGGCCCAGACUCCUACGGGAGGAAGCAGUGGGGAAUUUUGGACAAUGGACGCAAGUUUGAUCCAGCCAUGCCGCGUGCGGGAAGAAGGCCUUCGGGUUGUAAACCGCUUUUGUCAGGGAAGAAACGCUCUGGGUUAAUACCUCGGGGUAAUGACGGUACCUGAAGAAUAAGCACCGGCUAACUACGUGCCAGCAGCCGCCGUAACAC
rnacentral:rRNA from 1 species